rnacentral:sRNA from 2 species
CAAUUUAACAUCAAACUCAGAUGUUGAACGUGAAGGAUAACGUUGCGUCAGCAACGGCCCGUAGGGCGAGGCGAAGCCGAGUCAUCCUGCACGACCCACCA